rnacentral:rRNA from 1 species
AUACGGAGGGUGCAAGCGUUAUCCGGAUUUAUUGGGUUUAAAGGGUGCGUAGGCGGGACUGUAAGUCAGGGGUGAAAUACUGCAGCUUAACUGUAGCAUUGCCUUUGAAACUGCCGUUCUUGAGUACAGUUGAGGUAGGCGGAAUGUGGUGUGUAGCGGUGAAAUGCAUAGAUAUACCACAGAACGACGAUUGCGAAGGCAGCUUACUAAGCUGUUACUUACGCUGAGGCACGAAAGCGUGGGGAUCAAACAGGAUUAGAUACCCUGGUAGUCCACGCUGUAAACGAUGAUUACUGGUUGUUAGCGAUAUAUAGCUAGUGACUGAGCGAAAGCAUUAAGUAAUCCACCUGGGGAGUACGUCGGCAACGAUGAAACUCAAAGGAAUUGACGGGG